rnacentral:rRNA from 1 species
UGGCGGACGGGUGAGUAAUGUCUGGGAAACUGCCCGAUGGAGGGGGAUAACUACUGGGAACGGUAGCUAAUACCGCAUAACGUCGCAAGACCAAAGAGGGGGACCUUCGGGCCUCUUGCCAUCGGAUGUGCCCAGAUGGGAUUAGCUAGUAGGUGGGGUAACGGCUCACCUAGGCGACGAUCCCUAGCUGGUCUGAGAGGAUGACCAGCCACACUGGAACUGAGACACGGUCCAG